rnacentral:lncRNA from 1 species
GCUAAUAGUUCCAUGUCAAAAAAAUUAACUAAAUCGAAUAAGAAAAUAGCAAUGAUCAGUAUCAGCUCUUUAUGGAGAAAGAGCAGGUGAAAUAUUUUCUCAGCACUCUUCCUACAAGGCGAGGUCGAGAGUCACCUUGUGUUGAAAAUCUUACUAGUAUAGGACUCAACAGAAAAUAUAUUCCCCAAAUGCCCGUAAGAAUUCCUACUUCAAACCUCAGACUUCAAAUAACUGCCAGAACUACUUGACUGAGACACCCAUAAACUCAGAAAAUACAGUGUAAAACAAAGUGAAGAACAAAUAAACAACUCACCAGAGAUUUAUUCGUUUCUUGUUGCUCUUGGAAACACCCAGAGGACACUGGAAACAUAGCUGGGAUAGAAGGCAAAUGACGUGGAUUAAGGAGAGAACUGGUGUGGUUUGGUCCCAGAUUCUUCUGCCCAACACUCUAGACACAUUACCUGGGAAAGCCCUCCUCCCUCCUGAAAAAGAAAAACUUCCCCAGGGGAGAAGAAUCCUUCACGCCUCAUUAGGGGCAGCAAAGACUCAAGUUAAGAUAAGAUACAUCUACAAGUACAUUAAUUGGUAGACAUUAGAUGCACAAUUUAUUUUUGAAUAAAAAUAUAUAUUACCUACUAAUUUAGUAACAAUAUUAUCUAAAGAUAUAAUCUAAUAAUUUAAUACAAAGAAACAUUAUAAGUUCACUAAAAUAAAUGUUAUAGAAAUAUA